CUGGAAUACUUGAACUACCA
rnacentral:snRNA from 1 species